rnacentral:rRNA from 1 species
UACAGAGGGUGCAAGCGUUAAUCGGAAUUACUGGGCGUAAGGCGCGCGUAGGUGGUUUGUUAAGUUGGAUGUGAAAUCCCCGGGCUCAACCUGGGAACUGCAUUCAAAACUGACAAGCUAGAGUAUGGUAGAGGGUGGUGGAAUUUCCUGUGUAGCGGUGAAAUGCGUAGAUAUAGGAAGGAACACCAGUGGCGAAGGCGACCACCUGGACUGAUACUGACACUGAGGUGCGAAAGCGUGGGGAGCAAACAGG